rnacentral:rRNA from 1 species
AUUGAACGCUGGCGGCAGGCCUAACACAUGCAAGUCGAGCGAGCGGCGGACGGGUGAGUAAUGUCUGGGAAACUGCCUGAUGGAGGGGGAUAACUACUGGAAACGGUAGCUAAUACCGCAUACCAUCAGAUGUGCCCAGAUGGGAUUAGCUAGUAGGUGGGGUAACGGCUCACCUAGGAGACGAUCCCUAGCUGGUCUGAGAGGAUGACCAGGCAAACUGGAACUGAGACACGGUACAGAAUCCUACGGGAGGCAGCAGUGGGGAAUAAGGGACAAUGGGGGCAAGCCUGAUGCAGCCAUGCCGCGUGUGUGAAGAAGGCCUUCGGGUUGUAAAGCACUUUCAGCGGGGAGGCGUUACCCGCAGAAGAAGCACCGGCUAACUCCGUGCCAGCAGCCGCGGUAAUUC